CCGGUCCCCACCUGGGUGGACCGGACAGCCUCUUGGGCUUCUGGUAAAAUGAGUUAGCUCUUAAAUUUUCACACAUAUAAAGCACUAGACUUGCUACCGUGAAUGAUGUAAGAGGUCACCGUGAGGAGGAGGGCUCCUGGAAGCUUGCCCCGUCGCGGGGAAAAGCGGGUGCAGGAUGGGUGAAGUGGAUUCUCCUCGCGGUGUUGGAGUGGACCUGCCGUGUCAUGGGAAGCCAGUCUACCCACUUAUCCUGCAUGGGAUUUUCAAGCCGUUUAUACCAGAGAGGCCACAGAACCCUUGCCUCGGAAUCCGUGUAUGUGGUCUCCCUGCAGUCCAUGAACUCUCAGGGCCGGAGCCAACCAGUCUACAGGGCUGCCCUAACAAAGCGAAAGAUUUCAGAAGAGGACGAAUUGGAUGUACCUGACGACAUCAGCGUCCGGGUUAUGUCAUCUCAGUCUGUGCUUGUGUCCUGGGUGGAUCCUGUUCUGGAAAAACAGAAGAAAGUUGUUGCAUCAAGACAGUACACCGUGCGCUAUCGAGAGAAGGGGGAAUUGGCCAGGUGGGAUUAUAAGCAGAUCGCUAACAGGCGUGUGCUGAUUGAGAACCUGAUUCCAGACACUGUGUAUGAAUUUGCAGUCCGUAUUUCACAGGGUGAAAGAGAUGGCAAAUGGAGUACGUCAGUCUUCCAAAGAACACCAGAAUCUGCCCCUACCACAGCUCCUGAAAACUUGAACGUCUGGCCAGUCAAUGGCAAACCUACAGUUGUCGCUGCAUCUUGGGAUGCGCU
rnacentral:sRNA from 1 species